rnacentral:miRNA from 1 species
ACUUACUCCCGGGAGUUCUC